rnacentral:rRNA from 1 species
GACGAACGCUGGCGGCGUGCCUAAUACAUGCAAGUAGAACGCUGAAGGAGGAGCUUGCUUCUCUGGAUGAGUUGCGAACGGGUGAGUAACGCGUAGGUAACCUGCCUGGUAGCGGGGGAUAACUAUUGGAAACGAUAGCUAAUACCGCAUAAUAGUAGAUGUUGCAUGACAUUUGCUUAAAAGGUGCAAUUGCAUCACUACCAGAUGGACCUGCGUUGUAUUAGCUAGUUGGUGGGGUAACGGCUCACCAAGGCGACGAUACAUAGCCGACCUGAGAGGGUGAUCGGCCACACUGGGACUGAGACACGGCCCAGACUCCUACGGGAGGCAGCAGUAGGGAAUCUUCGGCAAUGGACGGAAGUCUGACUGAGCAACACCGCGUGAGUGAAGAAGGUUUUCGGAUCGUAAAGCUCUGUUGUAAGAGAAGAACGAGUGUGAGAGUGGAAAGUUCACACUGUGACGGUAUCUUACCAGAAAGGGACGGCUAACUACGUG